rnacentral:rRNA from 1 species
AAUGAACGUUGGCGGCGUGGAUUAGGCAUGCAAGUCGAACGGGCCCGGUCCUCGGAUCGGGCCAGUGGCGGAAGGGUGAGUAAGGCGACGGUAACCAACCCCAUGGUCGGGUAUAGCCGCGGGAAACUGCGGGUAAUCCCCAGCGACGUGCGGGGCCGGCAUCGGCCCCUCACCAAAGCCCAGGCGCCGUGGGACGGGCCGUCGUGGUAUUAGCUAGUUGGCGGGGUAACGGCCCACCAAGGCUGUGAUGCCUACCGGGCGUGCGAGCGUGGCCCGGCACACUGGGACUGAGACACUGCCCAGACUCCUACGGGAGGCUGCAGUCGAGAAUCUUCGGCAAUGGGCGCAAGCCUGACCGAGCGACGCCGCGUGGAGGAUGAAGGCCUUCGGGUUGUAAACUCCUGUCGAGGGGGAGGAAGGGGUAACCUUGACCGAUCCCUGGAGGAAGCACGGGCUAAGUUCGUGCCAGCCGCCGCAGUAA